rnacentral:lncRNA from 1 species
GGGAACCUUAAACAAAAACAUAAAACAAAACCCUGGAGAGUCGUUUUUGAAAGAAGGAACGACCCACCCCUCUGAUUUUGGAGCACCCAACAACCUUCUUCAACCUUAGAACCAAAACAAGCUGAACCCUAAACCCCCAUAGACCACCAACUGCCGCCAGCCUUAACGCCCAAGACUCGCCAAAAAACGAGCACCAGUGUCGCUGGCUACAAACUAUCCAGCCGCCAGUCAUCUUCGCCAUCUCCAGCCGUCCACCUCCAGCCGUCUCGCCGGAAUUCAACCACCUCCAUACACAAACGACCUCUAUCAGCCUCCACCCUAACCCCGAUCUCCAUCAGCGACCACACCCGCCGAACCCCACCCCAAAAAACGACUUUAGAGACGAAGAAAAAUAGCAACAAUUGCUGCUUCUUCAACUCCUCCUCCCACUAACCAGUGGCGAACUCGCCGAAAAACACACAGCCAAAUCGCUGGAAAGAAAUGGGCCAUGUUGUCGUCCAAGGUUCGUCGGUCCCGGUUCGUUUGUGCAAGGAUUCACGUUCGGAUUUUGUUUUUACUUCUGUUGCUUGCCUUAUUUGAUAUGCAAAGAAAGCAAAUUUUAGUUUGUUCGAUUUGUCGCUGUUUGCACUUGUUCGAGCUUGAAAUUUCGUCACUGACGUUUCAUUUGUCCGUGCGCUCGAUCAGAAAUUAAGUAUAAGGAAUUUGCUUGAUAAGGUUCACUCUAACCCCUUCUCAGUUGUUUCAAUGCUUGGUUACAUUUUAAUGUUGAAUAUUUUUUCCCUUGCUUGUUUGUUUUGUUUUGCUACUCAUUUGUUCUGUUUUAGAAAAUCUAGUAAUGUUCUUUUUGUUUAAUUUUGUUUUUCUUCAUUGAUUUAGUUCUUCUCCAUGUGGUGUUCAUUUGAAAAUUCCAAAUAGUGGAUGCAAGUUAAGUAAUCAGAGUCGUUAAGAGUUUAUAGUAAAUUAAUUUGGGCCUUUUAAUAGUAAUUGGGUUUGGAUUUGUAGAAAUAAAAUCAAAGUGGAUGUUUGGCUGAUACCUUAGGCUUUACACAUACAUAGUCUUUAACGAGUUUAUGUUUUGGAUUAUUGUUAUACCAUGACAAUAUGUUCAAUAGAGUCAUAGUUUAAAUUAAUAUGUUUGUUUGAUAUUUCCGUUAGAAGCAUGCUUAGGCCGGCAACACUCGGGUAGGCAAGCCUUAGGAUUUUGUUAGUUUCAAGGCGAGAGAUCGUUCCUUUAGUUAAAUUUAUCCGGGGAAUGCCCCGAGGGAUUUGUAUAUAUUUUAUUUCAGGGGUAUGCCCCGAAGUGAAUGUAACGGAGGCCGCAUCUACACCGUGGAGGAAGUAUAGUGUAGGUUAGCUUAGAAUUUUACUUUUUAUUAUUUUUAUUUUUAUUUUUCUUUUAUUAGGUGGGGACGACCUAGAUCCUCUUUUGUGUUUAUUUUUGUUUGUGUGUUUUCACCUAAAUUUGAGUAUUCUUAAAAGCCAACUUGAUCAUAUAUGCAACAGUACUAGUUUCGGGACUCGGGGAAUGCCUAACACCUUCUCCCCGAGUCAAAUGAACCCCCUUACCCGAAUCUCUGGUGCAGACUUAGUUUCGGAGUCUAAAGUGUUUUAAAAGGAAAAUCUAUUUCUUAAAAAAUGGCGACCUGGCACACCGAAACCAAUGUCAGGUGGCGACUCUGAGUUAUUUCCUUUUGAACAUAAUUUUUGUCACGUUCUAAUUGGAAAACCCUUUUCAAGCUUUACAAAUCACUUUUAUAUUUUUAAGAGGGUUAGUGAGGUUUGUAAAAAAAGAGUGUGACAUCUCUGGCGACUCUGCUGGGAACUUGCAGGUUCGAGCUAGUACUUGAUCUUGUUGGCUUUUAGGAUAUUCGGUUGAGGUGUUUGUUUUCUUUAUUUGCUUUGUUUGUCUUAUUUCCUUGUUUUGUUGGUUAUUUGUUUAUCGCCUUUCUUAAUGUGCUACUGCUUUAUAAACUGUCAUCAUUUGCAUAACCAUGGGUCUUCUUUCUGCAACAAGUCUCGGAGUACGCGUCGCGUGCACGAACUCUUUGUUGAGUCACCAUUAAUUUAGGAGGGGGGCCGUCGGGCGUAUGGAGUGGGUGGAAAAGCUUGAGCAGCCACCAUCGACCAUACGCUCCCCCGAAUUGCCUUGUUAGUGAACCCCAAACUUAGGUAAGCCUUUAGGUCAUUUUUAUUUGCAUAAUGUUAUUUAGACAUGGCAGGGCUCGGUCCCAGGUAUCGUGUCCCGUCGUAGGAGGCCUAUCCAAAUUAUGUAAAAAAUGAGCCCAUUGCCCAAUGACAUUUAAUCAUCCUAUGUGCUAAAUGUUGCAUCUACGAGGGUAGAAAGGUCAUUUGGCAGACCGAUGUUUUGGAAAGAAGGGUGAAAAAUGAAGCAAGUUAUUUUUCUUUCACAACUUUUUCAAUAAAAAACCAAAUUCUUUUUAUACUUUCCCAUUAUUUUCCCAAACAAAUCAAAAAAAAAAGAAAGAAAAGGAAAGUUCAAAAAGAUUUUGCACUUUCCCAUUAUUUUCCAAAAAAUAGAAAAAAAAAAGAAUUCCAUCAUUUUUUUUCAAAAACUAUAGUUUCUCCAAAUUAGUUGCAUUUUUUAAGCUUUCUCUCGUGUCAGAUCUUCUCGAACUACGCGAACCUGAUUCUCGUCUUUCGGGGCAGGAUACGUAGGCAACUCACAUAGGGUCCGGUCUUUCUUAGUAAGCCUUAGGUUUUUGGCUUCGCGGGGUCUUAGCCAAAUCUUGCAUAUCUAGCCACUUUUGGCCACACCGACUUUGUUGCAAAAUGGGGCUAUUUUGCGAAGUGGCUUAUUGGGCCGUGUUUGGAGAGUCUAGAAUCCACAAUUAGGUGUCUCCCUACUUCAAGGCCCGUUCCUGUUGAAUUUGCGUGUCUAGCCAUUUUUGGCCACAUCGGUCAUUCUUGCAAAAUGGGGUCAUUUUCGCAAAAGUGGUUCAAUUACCCAUGUCUUAGGAUCUUGAGGCCACAACUCGAUAUCAUAUCACUUUAAGGUCCAUCCUUGUCGUGUUUGUGUCCCUAGCCACAUUUGGCCACAUUGACCGUUUUUGCAAAAUGGGUCAUUUUUGCAAAAUAAUUUUGGGCCAUAAUUAUUGGGGGUUUGAAGCCAUAUAAGCCUUACUGAGGCAUUUUUCACGUUUUUGAGGUCAGUCUUGUUGAUUUUACCCUAAUAGCCACAUUUUGGCUACGUAGGUCAUUUUACAAAAAUAGCCUUAAUCAUGCCUUGCAUGUGUCCAAUAGAAGGUGUCGUGGCAUCACAUGUGUCUUGAGUCUAACUCUAUUUGAUCUUAUUUUCCCAUUCAGGUAUGGAUCAGUGUACCAAAGCUCGAGCAUGAUAAAUACCCCAAGACCACUGCAUUUAUGAGUUGCUUAUAAAUACUUUUAUGUUUUAGUCUAUCUUAUGUUGUCUUUUAAUUUUUAGUUUUGUACAGUAGUAUCUAGUCUGUCAAUCUAGUUAUGAUUGUCGAGUCUUUUGUUACAGUACUUCCUGUUUUGUAUUUGAAAAACCAAAAAAAUUACUAAAUGAAAAAUCCCAAAAAAUGUUUGUUUCUUAGUUUAUUUUGUCCAUUAUUUUUUUAGAACUAGGCGUGAUCUGAUUCAUGAGGGGCAUGAUACGUAGGCAACCUACAUAGGGUUCGAUCGAAUAAUCUUUUAAAAAAAC